ensembl:lncRNA
CUGCUCCUGCACCAGAUUAAGGCGCUGGGUGCAGCGUCUCUGCACACGGCUCCCCCACGCCAUCUUGAACAGAGUGUUGGGGGCGGAGCCUUUGCCGUCGUCGCCACCAUUUUGCACCAGGCAUCCUGUUGGGAAGAGCUGGAGGGAAACCUUUGCACCAGGUGCCUUGGGAACUAGGGAGCUAGACUCAGCGCAGUGAAAACAAGGGGACUGGAAUGCAAAAGUAGGAAGUCAAGAAACACCUGGAGUAACAGGCAAAUUUGGCCUUGGAGUAUGGAAUGAAGCAGGACAAAGACUAAUAGAGUUUUGCCAAGAGAAUGCAUGGGUCGUAGCAAACACCCUCUUCCAACAACACAAGAGAAGACUCUACACAUGGACAUCACCAGAUGGUCAACACUGAAAUCAGACUGAUUAUAUUCUUUGCAGCCAAAGAAUCGUAGAAGCUCUAUACAGUCAGCAAAAACAAGACCAGGAGCUGACUGUGGCUCAGAUCAUGAACUCCUUAUUGCCAAAUUUAGACUUAAAUUGAAGAUAGUAGGGAAAACCACUAGACCAUUGAGUGGCUGUAUUGGUCUGCACCACCGAAUACCACAAGCUGGGGGACUUGAGCCAUGGAAAUUCAUUUUCUUACAGAUUUGGAGGCAUAACGUCCAAGGUCAAGUGUUCUCAGGGUUAGUUUCUGGCGAGGGUCUCUCCUCUGCUCACAGAAGGCUCCUUCUCUGUGUCCUCAUGCAGCCUUCCCAUUGAGAACACACAUAAAGAUGCUACAGCUGCCAAAUUUCCAUCUGCAGAAUGUGGACUUAACAUCCAUCUCACAAAGUUAAGAGAAUUAAAUGAAAUUAUGUAUGAAAGUGAUUGGCAAAGUACCUUGAACAGAGUAAGUCCUCAAUAAGUGGGCAUUACAAAUAUUAUCCCCUACAAGGAAACUCUUCAAUACAUCUUUGUUUUUGAAUCUGAGAUCUUAAGAACUAGAUAUAAAAUUGUAUUGAUUUAUAGUCAUUUCAAUUUUUUCUGCUUUCUGAUUGGAAAUGAUUUAUUUAAACAAUAGUUAACAAAGUUCAUUUAUUUAAAGUUUGCUAAUGGAGAAAUAAGACAUGAAACACUUCAAUAAACAAAUUUCUUUUGUUUGAAGUUCAAAAAUGAGUCUAAUUCUGCAUUAUCUAGACAGCUAAGGAGCUGUUCAAUAUGUCACAUAGUCUUGCUCACCUAAUUGCUUGGUCACAGCUGCAGAAAACCUUUUUGAAAUUCUAUGCAAAUCACAAGUUUAAAAGCAUCGGUUAUAUGUAUGCAGAAAGGCUACAAGAGAAAAAGGACUUUGCUUUACUGUACCCCAAAGAAGGCUACCGGCUCUGAAUAUUUUACUUCAAAAGCUUCUUUCAAAAUACCAAAGAAAAACAGAGUGAAAGUCAGAGGAGUGUUUUUUCCUUGGAGUCUUCAGUCAAGGGCUACUCGUGCUGCCAUAGCAACUGGACUGCUAGGUGGCUUUGCAAAGGAAGCCUCUCGCCAGGCCAGCUGCCUGCGGCAGCUGCCCUCAUUUGCAUCUUUCUCAGUCAAGUUGCUUCCAAAAUGUUUCUAGAACAUCGAUCUCAAUUUCAUGAAACCUCAGUUAUAACCCCCUCUCUGUUCCUGUCUAGCACACAGCCAGCUCCGCUCAACAAAAUUCAAACGUUGCUCAGUUCUCCCCCUCCCUUCCUGCCCUGGUAAAAGAUAGUGAUUUAUCAUGUGAUGAACCGAAGAUUGCUGGGGACCUAGGAGAUGGCCCUCUUGCAUCUUAAAAUGGGAUGCUGGGCCGAGACCUGUUCAGAGUUUUCGUUUUGAGGCACUGCUCCCAAUCAUUUUAACCAAGACUGGUACUUGGAGAAUGGAAGUAGAAAG